GAAAGAUAUUUGUUUUACAAAAUAAUUGUUGAAAUGAAAGAAUCAGGGUUUCCUUGUGUUGGGUUCUUUAAGUUUGUUUAAAAAGAAUAUAAUUUUAUUGAUUUUAUUCAGUAUAUUUUGUAAUAAAUCGUAAUCACAAAUAUUUUUAUUUUAAAAUAUGGAUCGAUCAAAUGUUACUCCUCAUUUUUCUCCUUUGCGAAUGACAAAAAAAAGAAAAAAAAAAAAAGAGGUUGACUUUUUAAAGUAAACUUGGCAUUAAGAGUGGGAUGCCUAUGCCAGAGUUUCUUCGAUCUUGCCUGAUCGUUAGUGGAGACAUACCUGAUUUUCUUAAUUUUGAU
rnacentral:lncRNA from 1 species